rnacentral:lncRNA from 1 species
GGGGACUUUCACCAAAGCUCUCUUCUCGACCGGGAACCCGGGGCCACGGGAUGUGGAGUUCUUUUAGUUUCUGAGGACGAGUCCUUUUAUCAAUAUGAAGCUGCUUUUUGAUUUGUUUUGUUUUUACAAUGACUACUUUCCUGUUGGAAGACAGAAAAAGCGCAUUAGGCUUACUUUUGGGUACAUGUGUGGAGCAACACAUAGGUGGAGAGGGUACAGCAGAUGCAGGGCGGUGUAGGAGGGAAGCUGGUGCUGGCCUUCCAGCACCAUCCUGUGCUGGGUUGUUUCCAGACCCACUGCCUGCUUUACCCCUCCUUGGCUUAGAUCAUGGGUGGGACAGAGGAAGGGACAUGACACAGAAAAGGACUGUCAGAUGACCACACAACUUCUAUUGCCAGCUCAUCUGAU